rnacentral:rRNA from 1 species
CCCGUAGAACAAGCGACGCCGCGUGGAGGAUGAAGGCCCUUGGGUUGUAAACUCCUUUUGUCGGGGAAGAAAUGCGAUCAGGUGAACAAUCUGGUCGUUUGACGGUACCUCUUAAGGAAGCACCGGCUAACUCCGUGCCAGCAGCCGCGGUAAUACGGAGGGUGCAAGCGUUGUUCGGAAUCACUGGGCGUAAAGCGCGUGUAGGCGGCCAUUUAAGUCUGGUGUGAAAGCCCUGGGCUCAACUCAGGAAGGGCACUGGAUACUGGAUGGCUGGAGUACCGGAGAGGAGGGUGGAAUUCCUGGUGUAGCGGUGAAAUGCGUAGAUAUCAGGAGGAACACCGGUGGCGAAGGCGUCCCUCUGGCCGGAUACUGACGCUGAGACGCGAAAGCGUGGGGAGCAAACAGGAUUAGAUACCCUGGUAGUCCACGCCAUAAACGAUGGGUACUAGGUGUUCGGGGUAUUGACCCCCUGAGUGCCGCAGCUAACGCGUUAAGUACCCCGCCUGGGGAAUACGGCCGCAAGGUUA